AGGCACACAGUUGUGAGAAUUUCAGAUGUAUGGGAAAGGAAUGAACUAAGACAUGAAGAUAAAAGGUAAAAGAUUGGAAGGGGUACUUUACCAGACGGGCUUUCCGAUUCAGUAUUUAUUUCCUUCAAGUACAAAUGAAUAUUGUGCCAUACAAACUUCGGAAAAAUCAUGGUUGAAAUGACCAGUUAAGCGCUACGCGGACACCUAUACAUGGAGGAACAACCCGGCAGGUUUGAACCUUCACGUCCAGUUGUGCCUAGGAACGAAGCAGCGAGUCCAGAAAGAGAAAAUUCGGGAAUCUGAAGAGUGCUUUGGUGAAACCCAGCUCUCUCUUGCUGAAAGAACUUUGAAAGUAUGUGGUCAUUUACAGGCAUAAAAAUGACUUACAAGACGUUGAAGAGGAAUGCUAUUGUCAUAUAAAUUAAACCAAAAGGUCAUGAAGGGCGUGUAACCCUGCAGGUCACCAGCCUUUAUCUACAUGAACGAUUGUUAUAAUAUUUUUAUUAAAAAUGUUGUAUCGAGUAUCGAUUGCUAGGAUGACUUAAGAUGGGUGACUAAAAUCACAUCAUCAAUGGUCAUCAUCCACUAGAGGAUUUUUAGGAGGGGUGGUUGCAUGUAUGAAGUUGUGAUUGACAAAAUCACGGUUAGCCAGUACAAGUGGAAAAUUUUUAUUUUGUUAAUACACGUUUUCGUAAU